AAGGGGAGUGCGGCGUGCCUAUACAUGCAGUCGAACGCUUUGUCUUUAAUUGAUCUGACGAGCUUGCUCUGAUGUGAUUUUAUCUGACAAAGAGUGGCGAACGGGUGAGUAACACGUGGGUAACCUACCUCUUAGCAGGGGAUAACAUUUGGAAACAAGUGCUAAUACCGUAUAAUACCAACAACCGCAUGGUUGUUGGUUGAAAGAUGGUUCUGCUAUCACUAAGAGAUGGACCCGCGGUGCAUUAGCUAGUUGGUAAGGUAACGGCUUACCAAGGCAAUGAUGCAUAGCCGAGUUGAGAGACUGAUCGGCCACAAUGGGACUGAGACACGGCCCAUACUCCUACGGGAGGCAGCAGUAGGGAAUCUUCCACAAUGGGCGCAAGCCUGAUGGAGCAACGCCGCGUGUGUGAUGAAGGGUUUCGGCUCGUAAAACACUGUUAUAAGAGAAGAACGGCACUGAGAGUAACUGUUCAGUGUGUGACGGUAUCUUACCAGAAAGGAACGGCUAAAUACGUGCCAGCAGCCGCGGUAAUACGUAUGUUCCAAGCGUUAUCCGGAUUUAUUGGGCGUAAAGCGAGCGCAGACGGUUAUUUAAGUCUGAAGUGAAAGCCCUCAGCUCAACUGAGGAAUGGCUUUGGAAACUGGAUGACUUGAGUGCAGUAGAGGAAAGUGGAACUCCAUGUGUAGCGGUGAAAUGCGUAGAUAUAUGGAAGAACACCAGUGGCGAAGGCGGCUUUCUGGACUGUAACUGACGUUGAGGCUCGAAAGUGUGGGUAGCAAACAGGAUUAGAUACCCUGGUAGUCCACACCGUAAACGAUGAGUGCUAGAUGUUCGAGGGUUUCCGCCCUUGAGUGUCGCAGCUAACGCAUUAAGCACUCCGCCUGGGGAGUACGACCGCAAGGUUGAAACUCAAAGGAAUUGACGGGGACCCGCACAAGCGGUGGAGCAUGUGGUUUAAUUCGAAGCAACGCGAAGAACCUUACCAGGUCUUGACAUCCCUUGCUAAUCCUAGAAAUAGGACGUUCCCUUCGGGGACAAGGUGACAGGUGGUGCAUGGUUGUCGUCAGCUCGUGUCGUGAGAUGUUGGGUUAAGUCCCGCAACGAGCGCAACCCUUAUUAUUAGUUGCCAGCAUUCAGUUGGGCACUCUAGUGAGACUGCCGGUGACAAACCGGAGGAAAGGGGGGGGAUGACGUCAAAUCAUCAUGCCCCUUAUGACCUGGGCUACACACGUGCUACAAUGGCAUAUACAACAAGUCCCCAACCCCCGAGGGUGCCCUAAUCUCUUAAAGAUGUUCCCAAUUCCGAAUUGAGGGGGCAACCCCCCCCAUAAAAAGCGGAAACCC
rnacentral:rRNA from 1 species